rnacentral:tRNA from 1 species
GCCUGUGGCGAAAUUGAGAGGCGCACCAGACUCAGGGCCUGGCGCCGAAAGGCGUACAGGUUCAAGUCCUGCCAGGAACACCG